rnacentral:lncRNA from 1 species
AAUAUUGCUUUAAACUACAAAGCUUUGCAUAACAUGAUUUUGAAAUGCCAGGUCGAUUGCAAAACAUAAGAUUUCUCAUGUCUUUUUUAGUCUCAAAACUUGUGGCCUAAACUAAAUUGCUAAGAGAGGAUUACUCCAAUUUGUAACAAUGCACUAAUUUAAGAAAGUCAGAGGUCUUAUAUCAUUUAGUGAUUUUAGCAUGCAACAAGGAAAGGCAUGAUCCAUACAAGCUUAUUAUGACUUUCUAAGUCAAAAUACUAUAAAAUUUAUUCAAUUUGAAUAUUGCUUUCAACUGGACUAGAACAAUAUUGAGCAUAAUAUAUUACAUAUUUGAAUCAAAAUCUAGGUGCCCAAAAAAUGAAGUUCAAUUUUAAUUUGGGGUUAUCAAAUUUUGAGUAGUUUCCUUCUUUUAUAUACUCGAGUGAAUGGAGUGACUUUCUUCUUUUAUAUAUCCAAGAAUUUCACUGGGUGUAUUCACUACAACAAAAAUAACUUUUAGCGGCAAUAAAUAUUGACAUUAAUAAAGAGUGCUAAAGUAUUUA